AAACAAUUUGAUUUCUAUUACAGUUGAUACACCAAGUGAGGCUUUUAUGGUUGCAUAGUUAUUCUUAUUGAAUUGACAUGGCAUGUCCAAUAUAGCCAUAAUAUAGCUGUUAUUGUCGAUUUGUACAUACGUAUAUGGUCACACAAUAUGCGUGUAUACAUUUUGCAAUAUGUGAAUACAUGUCCCUAGAAUGCAUGGAGAGAUUGCUGUUAGCUUGUUAUGUUAUGGCUUUAUAAAGAUGGCUUGUAAUUGUACAAUAUUUAUUCUGUAUGUAUUUUGGACCAUUGAACAUGCUUUAAGUCUUCUAGCUCUCAGAGCAUUCAUAUUGAAUUAUGACUAUGUUGUUGGUUCCUGUGCCCUGCUGGUGUGAGCAAAAUGUGUUUGGGACUUGAUUUGAGGGAGAUUUUUAUUGAUAGGGUUAAGGUGGUAAUCUUAAAGACAAGCGCCAUGCUCUUUCCUUUCGAUGACAAUGUAUUAAUUUGAUCCAUUGAUUUUACGCAUGUUUGCAAUUUUGUGAGUGCUAGUUUGACCCCAUGUAUGCAAGUAUUUUGGGCCUUGCAAAACAUGUGGGUACAUUAAGCAUAUAGUACACUUGAGCUGAUUUUAGUACAAUUGAUCUAUUAAAUGGGACUCAUCAUAUGGUGGGUUUCUAUAUUCAUCUAUAUAGUUAAUGUUACAUGAAUUCAUGGGAAUACAACUUACAAUUUUAAUUGUAUGAAUUGUUAAUUUCUCAUGUUACAUGUAAUUUUAAAGCUAUAUGAGAUCAAGACUCACCUUAUGAUGGGUCUCAUUUGGUAGAUCAAGUAUGCUAAAAAUCAGCUUGUUUGAAAAUUGAUUCUUUGCAUUACAUAUUUUGGGACUCUAAUAAAAAACUGUAAUCCUUGUGUGUGUAGUGUUUCAUAUAGGCGUCAUCUCGUUAUUAUUUUUUUUAAAAUGUUUACAUUGCUUAAGAAAUUUCACUAAAAUGGAUAAAAAAAAAUUGUUUAAAAGUUAACUUUGGUGAAGAAAACCUUAAGGGCCUUUUUUGUUUUUGUUCAACAAAAAGUAUACUCAGACUUUUGAUGUGCUACUAAUUAAAUAUCUUCUAUCUGUAGAAUUUGCAAACUUCAAAGCUGCAACUCCAUUUCUGAGUAUGCUUAUUUGUUUAAGUCAUGCACUAGAGCAAUUCAAUUACUGUAACAUUAAAUUUAUGUUAAACUAUGGUAGUUAUUUCAUCUGGGUUUUGAGACUUGUGUAGUAAAUUUGAUAGAUUACUUGAAGAUAUUAAUAUACAGGUGAUGGCAUCAAGACAGCUCGAUACUGGCCUUUUUGUGGGUCAAA
rnacentral:misc_RNA from 1 species